rnacentral:tRNA from 1 species
GAACCUGUGACGCAGUGGUUAGCGUGUCGUUCUUAUAUUGUAUUUCCCGCGUGGAAUCCAGUAUGAUCUCUUUCGAGCAAUGCGAAAGUCGCGAGUUCAAGUCUCGCCAGGUUCA